rnacentral:misc_RNA from 1 species
GAUGAAGAACGUAGCGAAAUGCGAUACGUAAUGUGGAUUGCAGAAUUCAGUGAAUCAUCGAGUCUUUGAACGCACAUUGCGCCCCCUGGUAUUCCGGGGGGCAUGCCUGUCCGAGCGUCAUUGCUGCCCUCAAGCACGGCUUGUGUGUUGGGCCUCCGUCCUCCUCCCGGGGGACGGGCCCGAAAGGCAGCGGCGGCACCGCGUCCGGUCCUCGAGCGUAUGGGGCUUCGUCACCCGCUCUUGUAGGCCCGGCCGGCGCUUGCCGACACAUCAAUCUUUUUUCCAGGUUGACCUCGGAUCAGGUAGGGAUACCCGCUGAACUUAAGCAUAUCAAUAAGCGGAGGA